rnacentral:lncRNA from 1 species
GCUUAGUGGUAAUUGCAGGAGAAUUAAGAGGUCGUCCGAACAUAAAUGAUUGGAUAAGAAUUGACAGAAAUGUGGUUCUGCAUCUUUAUAAGGCCGAUAACCACGAAAGCUGAUUGAAACUAGUAGAGCUAAGUUAUGAUCGUUUGCCCAAAGAAAUGAAACGUGUUUCUUGUAUUGUGGUGUCUUUCCUCGAGGCUUCGAUAUUCCUUCUUGAAAAUUGAUUCGCUUGUGGAUAGCUGAAGGGUUACUAAAGCCUCAACAGAACUACACUCUUGAGGAGAUAGCUGAGUAUUAUAUGAGCGAUCUUGUCAAUAGAAAUUUAGUGAUAUUGCAGCAAAAGAGAUCUGAUGGUCAGAUAAAAACAUGUCGUCUUCACGACAUGUUGCAUCAGUUUUGCAGAACGGAGGGCAGUAACAAAUGGAAUUUAGCGAUAUUGCAGCAAAAGAGAUCUGAUGGUCAGAUAAAAACAUGUCGUCUUCACGACAUGUUGCAUCAGUUUUGCAGAACGUAGGGCAGUAACAAAUGGAUUUUUCAAGAAAUAUGUCCAGCACCUGACCAAGCUUCUGCUGUUACUUUGCAAUAAUUUUCUGUAUUCUUAUUAGCUUGAUCUUAUAUUCCAAGGUGUAGAGUGAAGAACUAUUUCCUUGGCUAUUCUCAUUUUUGAUUCAAAGUAUGUAUUAGUCUCGUUGUUGACCUUUGAUUACUUUUGCUUAUAUUCUU